rnacentral:sRNA from 1 species
AAACCGCUCUAUUAUUAUUGUUAUUGUUAUUGCAGUUCCACAGCGUCCACUGCCCCUGAAGUAACGUCGACGGAGAAAAGCCAAAAAGUUGGAGGAUAUUAAACACCAGUUCUCGCUAGCUCACUGUUCCAUCCCAAUUAUUGAGCCAGCUUCAUCGAUUGGGUGUAUGCAAAGGACAACCGCCGACGACAGUUCCCGUCCUGUUCGAUCAGUUGCUGAUCUGGGCUCUUGGUAUGGUAUGGAGCGUGCAAAGCUGCCCGCCAAAGCUGCAGAUAGCGGAGUGAGCGCCCCGGAUCGAUUCAAAAAGAAUGCCAUUGUGGGGCGAAGAAACACUGCGCACUCUGGCGCUUGCUAGCCGAUCGGCAAGACAGGAUUUAGGAGCGGGAUCUACAUAGCAAGGGGGAAAAGCCCAGGGGAAUAUUGAAUAUUGUCGCUCGGUUGAUCAGGUUGACGAUAGAGAUGAGCAGGGCGGCGGAUACAGUAUGUACAUACAUUGCCCUGACAGCGAGGAUAUUUCACGAAGAUGAAUAAUAACAUCUAUCAAAAAUGCUACAAAAAUGCUACGAGUAUGGCAGUACUCUAGCAAAAGCAAGCCAACGGCACGCCAAUAACGCCCUCGACGGUGAUAAUAGCUACGACAUAAAAGACCACUGGUUGGGGACAUAUAACUAUAACCCUGCGGGGCCAUGGACGGUUAUCUAAUAGGAACGCUCCGCAGGCUGCUCUAACUGAAAGGCAAACUCCAGCCUUGUAUCCUCAGCUAAGAUACCAAACACCAAUAUAUCACAAAAAGAAAACAGCAUGUUCUCCGUCCUACUUCUUCCCGCAGACAAAAAUUGGGCCAACAGGUUUAAACUAGAUGCUGGUGAAGCAAGCGAAGCAAUUAGGGGGAGAGUCCCCACAACAACACGUCAUAUACGGCAAACAUGAAUUGAGCAUAAACAAAGAGAGGCCAAGGGCGAUAUCCAGAGCUUGCGGUUCAAAAGUGGGCGAGAUGACAAACAGCGGCGUGGGGCCGGUCGUCAUCUCUACCACAGAUUCGAAAGGGGAAAUAAAAAGACAUCCCUUCGAAGUGAGCAGACGGCCCGACCAUACUGCUAUGGCGAGGUGGGCAACAUUGUACUGUACAAGCUGCUCGUCGAACCCGUGGCCCUGCUUCCACCUGUCAUUAUUUCUUCUUCCAACGGCUUCGUCCACUAUUAACACAUUCGCAUUUUAAUAAUCACUGAAUCCUGGGUAUCCUAGAGCUUUUAAUUCUUGAAAGGGGCGACCACCCUCUAUCCCCCAGACGUUCUAAAAAGAAACGGGUUGGGAAAAGAAGGGAGGAACAAAAAAAAUAAAAUAAAAUAAUAACGGGUCAUGUUUAGAAGGUGCAGUUCACACAAGUCCCACAAUCCCCGUUCCGAAACAUGGAUUGUAGCAGGAGAAACUGUGCUGAAACCAGAGGAGAAAUGCCCAGCCUCCCCUUUUUCGAUUUCGCUCCUCUCUCACAUCUCCCAUGAUUCACGGUUGCCGCAAAAUUCCACAAUCAGCCUUUCCAGGUCGGCCAACUUGUAUGGUUUCGUCAUAUAGCCUUCCAUCCCCACUUUGGUAGCUCGGCCCAACGCCUCAUCCGUGACAUCCGCACUGACUGCUAGGAUAGUCGGGCUGGGUGGUAAUAAAACGUCCGGGUUCGCACUCCGCAUUCUAUCACGAUGACUCCCAACCAUAUCCAGUAUUUCCUCCGUCGCCUGAUAUCCGUCCAUAUCGGGCAUCCAGAGAUCCAUGAGGAUGACGUCGACAAACUUCGAUUUGGGCACCUGCUUGAUAGACGGCUCGUUGAAUGUUGACAUUUGGCAGUCUUCUAUGAGCGACGUUAUCGUGUCAGUGCUCAUUUCGGAGACACUUCGACUAGAAGGGCUUUGCGGGGGUGGUCCUGGGUCGGGGGCAACGUCGUUCAAGAUCAUCUCGCUCAUAAUACGAACAGCUUCUUUGCCGUUGAAAGCCUCAUAUACAUCGUUGUAUCCCAGCUUCGCAAGCAUGCUAACGAGAAUUCGUCUAUUGAUUUUGUUGUCUUCGGCUACAAGAAACGUGAGAGGGUGUUUGUCGGCAAGAUGGCGGUCAUAGCCAUUGGAGCUAAGAAGGGCGGAACCGCCACGGGAUGAAAUCGAUAGGCGACGUGAGGGUGCUAGCCAACCGCCGUUUGUGAAGCUCGAGCUUGCUCGAGCUGGUGCCGGGCGGUUUGAAGAAGGAUCCGACGGGGCAGUUUCGGAACCAUUCCCGACCGAUUUAGGCCCAUUUGUUUGACUGUCGCAACGUGAAGAUGGGUUCGAAUUCGAUUGGGAAACUGUGCACUCGUCGCGUUGAGGCGUGGUUGGCGGGCUGACACUGUCGUUGGGGCUUAUGGGUAGCCGGAUUUCGAAUUCGGAUCCACGAUCUGGUUCCCUCGUCGAAGAACGACGGCAUCUUAAAUCACCGCCAAGCUUCCUAGACAAGCCCUUGGCGACCAACAGCCCGAGUCCCAAGCCUUCCUUGCUCCUCGUUGUAGAGUCGUCUUCCCGAGCAAAAGGCUGGAAGAGGUUUGGAAGAAAGUCCUCUGGAAUACCGGUUCCAGUAUCGCUGAUAUUAAUUAAAACGCACUUGCCCGAACUACUCAACUUUGUAACAAGCGUAAUGGUUCCAGACUCUGUAAACUUGAGAGCGUUGAUAAAGACGCAGGACACCAACUUGGUAAAGUCUCUUUCGUCGACAUAUAAGAUAUCCGGCACUGACGGGUCGACAAACCAAUCGAUAAUCUUUGUCGAAGCCCGGCCAUUUGAAGAUCUUGACCUAAUCUCGAUUUUUUGCCCAAACAUGUUCGGCUCAACGAAAGCGGAAUCCGGACGGCCUCCUACAUGGAGUGAUUCGUGGAUAAGCGGUUGGAGUAUCUCACGGAUUUUGGUGGACUGCAGUGUCAUCGGAGGGAAGACCUUGGGUUUAACGUAUAUGCUAGAACACGAAAACUGCUCAGGGAUUGAGGCGCGUCGUGCAUUGAUCAAAGCUUCUUGGACUUCGUUGUCUUCCUCGACUCGCGGGCCGGCUUGAACGAUUUUGUCGCUCUCUUCAACUACCGUCUUGACUUCUGCGCUUCGGGGUGAGAGUUCUCGUCGACGUAAUCUGGGUGAUCUGGAUCCUGACGGAGGGCUAUAAUUCCAAUCAACUGGACUACUCCUUCUACGCUUGUAUGGAUUUACAGCAAUGUUGUUCCCUUCGAUUAGGAUAUUCGGACGAGUAUCGUAUUCUCCACUAUAUGACCGCAAAGAAGCUCCAGUACUUUGCUCACCAGCCUGGUUCUGGGGUGUUUCAGGUAUUUGCAUAUUUAGAUCGUAAGCAUGCACCACAUUAUCAGCUGCCUCCACUGCUCUUCGAACGCUAUCUGUAACGUUGUACCAGGCCAUUAACACGACUUGACAUCCAAAAUAAUGGAACGGCGCCAACUACGCUAAAUAUCGAAGACGGAACUAACCUUGGAUUGCCUCAAUGUUAUCUUUGAGCUCCUGGAACACGGGAAUUACUCCUGCUGCAUCGAGACGCUUGUCCAUUGCUUCUUGCACGUUGGCAUGCAUGACAUCCAGCAUCCCAACCACCCCUUGCAUCGGUGUUCUUAACUCAUGGGAUAGGCUCCGUGCAUACGGUUUGAACGACUGUGAGCCCGUCGUGGAGUGAUGAUAGACCGUGGGUCUACUUGCUUUUGCUCUGCCUCUUCGCUGUUGUUGUUCGUCUCUUUUCUGGACGAGCGUUGGCUUCUUGUAGUUCUGUUCGUCCAGGAUGCGGUGUUGUACAAAGUCCUCCAAGGAAUGUAGGAUCAUCUCAAGAUAUGCCCAGGAGACAUCACGCCUCGCUAAACCUUCAGCGGUCCACAUCAGCCCAAAAUGAGCAAAACAUUUUCCACCCGAGAACAAAGGGACAGCCAAGUAGGCAUCCAUUGGGAAUGGGAGCAUAUUUGGGCCAUUGCUUAUGUAUGAAGUCAAGUUUUCCGGGAUGAGGAAAACCUUGUCGUGCUUCAUGAAGUCACAAGGUAUAUCCCGAGCGAGAUGCUUGUAGUUUCUGUGCAUCGCUGAGAUCGAGUCGCCAUUGUUAUAGUACAGAGCGAUACCUAUAUAGGGAGAAUACUCAUGGGUUUCAGUGGCUGGCAUCAGAGUAUCGUAGCCAUUCUGGCAUGGGGCCGGCUGGGGAUUUGCGGAGGCUACAAACGAGCAUUGGGCAUUGCAAAUCGCUGCUACUCCUUCUAGCAACCGUUUCCAAAAUGUCUCGGUCUCAGCAUCCCUUAAUUCUUCCUUGAGUCUUAGGAGACGUUCAAUCGCAUUGCUCUGUCCAACCUCAUAGUAUUUCAUCAUUCCACUGAGAAGCUCCGGCUCUCCGCUAGAAGUCAGGCCUGGUAGAUAAAGGGUCUGGCGAUUAAUGAAAACCGAAUCUACGAAUUGGCUGGAGGGAUUUGGUCCAAAAGUACUCGACAUUGUCCCGCGAACCUUGCGACCUCAUAUAGCCCCGACAAUCUCUAUUCUCGGGGGAUGGAAAUGGAAUCGGGAAAUAUUAUUGGGGUAUCGAGAACUCGAAAUGGCUGGAAAAUCGCCUUCCUUGACAACAGUAGAAUGUACAGAGCAUGCUCAUCAGCACAGAAAAAGCUCAUUCAAUAUUCGAGUACACACACAAGUCCGGUAUCCGGCGUAGUUUUGCGGUUGGAGGUGCAAGAAGUAAAAGGGAGACUGCGGAUCUGGAUCUGGCCGCACUACCUGCUUUCUUUCGGGGACAUUCGGAUAGCUAGGAGAUUUCAAUCCAGGGCAACCUAGGUAGAUAACGGACUCUGGACGAUGAGGAAGAGUGGUCGUGCGCCGCGCUGCUACCAGGCUGCAAUAAUUCGGCGGUCUAGGUGAAUAGCAAUCAGCGGGAGGAAGCCAAAAAACGAUGCCUUGGGGGAAAUAUAUAAGGAAGCCGGCUCAGGAAGAAGGAUAACAAAUAAAAGCAACGACACGGAACAGAGCCACAAGGACGGGGGAAGUACACCAACAAUGAGCAAUGCUGCUGGUUGUCUCCAGCCGGGGCGGAAGAGGUGUGGAAGCGGUGUUGGAGGACGGCGACGGCGCAAAGAGGGGCACACGAAGGGAACCAGCCGCCGACCAUUUAAUUAAUCAAUCGACAACGACGUCCGUGAAUAGGGGGCGACCACCACCAACCACUACGACUGCCACGACGACUUGUGCUCACUAGUUACUACUGUUGGGGACACCCACGACGGUGGCAUAACCUGGUCUGUCGCCGUAUUCUCCUCUUACUACGGAGUAUAGUUGCUACUAUUAUUGCGACGAGCAGGGGAUAGGAAUGACGCAGUUGGCCGAAGUGGAACACCCAGCGGUGUCUCCAGUAUAUAAUGCUUCCUCUCGUGCAAAGCAACGGAGGAUCCUCCAGGCCAAUCCCUCACCAAAUGAUGCUAACUAUUUAUCCUGUUUACCCCCAAAAUCUAGGCCAAGGACUCUCUCGCUCGCCUUUCUUUUUCUCCGUCAACUUGGCCUCUGUGCACGGGAUACUAACGAGGCCAGGUCCCGCCUGGACGCAUUCGAUUUUCCUUCGAUCAUGAAGUGGCAAUCCAUGGCUGGACACACUCUUGGGUUCCACAGACCACCAGCCGCGGGAUGCUUCGAAUAUCAAGCCCCCAGAGCCAAGAGUUCAGCGCCUCCUCGUUUCCCCGCAUGGACUAUGAGUGCUUGAGCUCUGGGUUUCUGUUUGGCCCUUCAAUCGCGACAGUGCUUGGACGUUGUUUCGCCCUAGCGCGGGUUUAGCCUGCCGCCAAAAGUUAACCAUUGGCCUUGAACUGCAAAGUUGGACGGGGAAGCACGGAUCGAAGCCCCGUGGCUGGACUGGCGAUCAUCAGGAUUAAAAAGAAACAACAGAGCAAAAAGGGACAGUGGCAAAUAACCACAACGUGAGCCUGGAAUUGCAUAGUGUAUCUGCUGACCAUCAACUCCGUACAGAGUUCGAGAAGCUACGAUGUACGCUGGAUUUUUUUAAAACUUCCCUGGAUUAUCAAUUUCUGCUAGCAUGCCGAUGUGGUCGCAGAAAGCCGCUCCAGGAGAACAGGCCUCUGCGUCUGGACCUUAUCGACCAAGAAAAUAUUGGCGAACCAUGCAUCAACUGGCAUCGUGCAUCCAGAGCAAAAAUUUUCGUAAGGUAAUGUUGGUGGACAUCAGAGCAAGGGUCUACAGUAAGCUUGUGCUUGUGCUUCUGUAGCAAGAAGAAUGGGGAGCUUUGAGAAAACCAGCCAUGACGCUGAUCCAACAGAGAAAGAAUUUCUGACCAAGGCCCCAGCCUAAUUGCAAGGAAAACUACUCUGUACUCUGUAACCGAUUCUAGAACUAGCACAUGUCCUGGCUCCAGAGGGCGGCGAUGCCACCACCUGCGUGAUAUCUCUACACACCCACACCCACCCACACACACACAAAAAAAAAAAAAAAAAACUUGGUCCUUUUGAACCCCCAAACUCCCAGCGUUCCAGUCGCCUCUCCGGGAUGGCCUUUUUACUGUUUGCUUGUUCAAUAGUAAUUGACAAGCGGCGGAUAAUGGAGAACUACUAACACAUGAGAAGUAGGAGAACAAAUUACAAAUUCAGCGUGAAACGCUACAUCCAAUGACCGAGGCGGGUGCAAACGGUAAAUGCAGGCAGGCUAGAGCGGGAGAGGGAUACAAGCCCUACCUGCACUUCGCCAAAAGCAGUGAAAUGAGUGAUCCAUCCAUCAAGAGCGAUGCAGAAAAUCCCUGAGUGGGAUUCUCUCCGGGGCCCAGGAGACACUACUACUAAUAUUGUUCAUUUUCAUAAACCAUGAAGCACGAUGCGGGAAGGGAGAGAAUUGAUCCGACGAGCUUUUGCAUGUUUGAAAUUGGACUUACAUCAAGUGGCCUCGGAGGAGCACUCCUUCACAGAUACCACAGAAAAUACUCCUACUGGUCCACCCAACCUAGAACGAUCGGGCGAAUCUCGAGUUACCCCAGUAUCUCCGAUGAAAAGUCACUACAAGGUACAUGUACUGUACAUGUACUGUACACUACAUUCUCGACUCUCCAUCUGCUAUCUGCUCAUCCUGUCUUCAUCCUCUCUUUGUCGCUUCUUAACUCCCCGAGCGUCAGCAACCAGAGUGUUCCAUCAUGCAUGGUUGCAUACCAGUAUUUGCUCGAAAAAUCACCCGAACUCUGUUUGUCCUUUGUCUGGUUCUUCAUAUUUAUCAGUUUAUGUGUAUGCCUAUAGAAGUAUAUACAUAUAUAUAUAAUUAGACAGAUUGCACAAUUUGGUCCCCCAAUUCGCUCUACUUUACAUCGAAUGACACAGAGAACUAGAAUAAACCAUCUACACAGUUGCGCCAACAUGCGUUGUUGGACUUUUUCCACAGGCCGCAGCUAACUUUCAGCUUUCAUUUGCAUGUAUGUUUGUUCUGCAGUCGGCACGUACCUUCGCACUUCCCAUGCGGCGUCAUCUCCUAUACAUGCAUCUUUCCGAGACCCUUGGUCAAUCUUUAAUGCUACCAUCAAUAAGACAACAGCUGUAAAAGUGGCCCCUUAGCUGCAUGGCCCCAGUUUCAAAGGAGAAAUAAUGAGGAGGACUGUCAAUUCAGCUCCCUUAGCGCGCAGAACCGAGUCCCAUCUUAGCAAUUGGGAAAGCGGGAGGGCGGGAGAGCUAUGGGACCGUUUUCUUUCUACUUUCAAGGCGGCUAGUGUGGGGCACAGAAGCGUGUUACCUGAUCCCUCUUUGUAUGAGGGUCCAGGUCCAGGCCUUGGUACUCAAAACAGCCCACCUCCAUGUUCAUCCCUGGUUUCAAUCCAUCAUUAAGCGAAUGUGUAAGAUAAUUUUGGUCUGAAUUUUUCGCCAUCUUCCCGCCGACCGGGAUCGUAGCCCUGCCAAAUAUUCUCGACUCCGAUUGCUCGGCUUGGCUUGCGUCUCCUUAUCGGGUUUCGAUGUCCUGCGUCGAUAAUCCCGUCUCGGGGAAUGUGGUGGGGAUUGGUUUCAGAAUAUGUAUAUAUGUGCUCCAGGUUCACCCAGCCAGAACAAAUUCGAUUUCAUUCCUGUCUUGUUCUUAUGGCCUUCUCGUAUACGUGGACAUGACCAGAUUCUUGGGCUUGGUGUUUUGAGCGCCGUGCUUCACCAGCAGCAGUUCAUGAAGAUAUCAUAUCGCACGAUUGUCCGCUUGGCUCAUUUUGCCAGGGAGCAUCACUUUUCGCUUUUGCCAAGUCCAAUCACUUCUCUAAGGAUUUGGCCAACAAAAAAAAAGAGCUACGCCUCAUAAUACAAAGCUCUUAGCUUCCGUUUGCCAUCUUUUGCGUUUGGUGAUCUCCGUGUCCAUGAAUCAAACUAUGAGAUUAAAGUUUUGCAAAAGGCGGCUCAAAACCGAUAUCAUCACCGCCUCCAGUUUAGCAUAGUUUGUGAAUAUCCGAUUGUAUGAAAAUAACAAAGAACUAGUUAACUACAAUAGAAAAUUAUUAAAUGAUCCCUUCCACCGUCAUCCCCAUUUGCCAACCCUCGUCAUAGCAUACAUGUACUGGGAUGCGGGUAAGGAAAAUGAACUCCGAAGUAGGUAGUUAGUACUUCUCCUCAGAGUAGUCAAAAACGCCCUCCCGUAGUAUCGUCAGCAAGCUUUUACAGCAAGGGCGGGUGAUUGUAAGUUGGCCGCCCCGCUAACGAAAAAUUGCAACGUUGAGAGAAACUUCCGCUGUCCGGAUGUAUCUUCCACUGGUAUAGGAGUCGAGAUGACAAUUGGAUGCAUUCUCAACCCGCACCCC